GUCUUUGACGUCACAUCCGGAAAGCAAAAAAAUUGAUGGGUCAUGUUUCCGCUUCCCUCUGGUUUGCAGCGCGCUGACGUCGCAGGGGAACUGUGCCGACAUCCACCUCGGUUUGCACGCAGCGCGAUGGACUUCAUGAUGGCAGAGCAGGAACAGGAGAAACAGAUGACUCCAAGACAUGAGGCUCUGCGGACAAAUAAGGAAAUCAGACACUCGUGAUGAAGUCAUGGCUUCUGUAGGUCUUUUGGAACAGCUCAUAGACUUCCCUUUUCUAUUUUUAUGUCAAGCAGUUCAUGUAGACAGACUCUUCUAGUAAAGCAAAGUGUCAGAACUCUGAUCAGUCCUCCCAAAUU